AUGGUCGGCUGCCAUAGAGGGGCACACCAGCCCCUUGUGGGCUGGUGUGCUCCCUUCUCUUGGCCCAUAUGGCCCAUAGACAUCCUGGGACUUGCCGGAACCCCUUCCGGUGACCCGAUGACUACCCGGUACGUCCUUAAACUCUUCCGGUGUCCAAAUACCAUCAUCCUAUAUAUCCGUCUUUACCUAUCGACCAUUUCGAGACUCCUCGUUGUGUCCAUGAUCUCAUCUAGGACUUCGAAUAUUAUCCAGUCACCAAAUCACAUAACACUAUAUCGUCAACGAACGUUAAGCAUGCGGACCCCUACGGGUUCGAGAACUAUGUAG
rnacentral:rRNA from 1 species